rnacentral:rRNA from 1 species
AGGACGAACGCUGGCGGCGUGCUUAACACAUGCAAGUCGAACGAGGUGCUUCGGCACUUAGUGGCGAACGGGUGAGUAACACGUGAGCAACCUGCCCUUGGCUCUGGGAUAGCCUCCGGAAACGGGGAUUAAUACCGGACAUGACUCUCUCCUGCAUGGGGGAGGGUGGAAAGUUUUUCGGCCAGGGAGGGGCUCGCGGCCUAUCAGCUUGUUGGGGGGGUAACGCCCACCAAGGCGACGACGGGUAG